rnacentral:lncRNA from 1 species
UCAAAAGAACGAAACCAGGAGACUUGACAUGCUGUAAGCAUAGCUAUCCAUUUCAAACAGCUACAAGGAAGACUUAUUUGCACAUAAUUACUAUUUCAAGAUAAUUUCUCUUGAUCCUGACACCGCAAGGCUGGAAAAGAUACUGUACAAGGGAGCUGAGGUUAAUAUAUAUAUAUAUAUAUAUAUAUACAUAUAUGCAUAUAUACACAAAACAUACAUAUGUGUCAAGGGAAGGAAUGAAUGUAGGAUAAAAGAUGACAGAAACUUCUUGGGAUUGGGAGGAGAAGCCUGGAGAACUGGAAUUUCUAGGAAGGAAGAGGGGCAGAAGAGCUCUGGAGUAUGGACAACCAGCAGAUUACAUAUGAAGGGUAUGAAUUGAAUAUAAUCAUUGACAGUUGGAACCUUGUUUGUAUCACUGACUUGUUGAAGGAAUUAUUCUCCUAGACAGAAUUUUGCUAUUUCUUAGUCCUUUACUGAAUUUAUCCCCCCCUCUUCAUCCCCCUUUUUCUGUCCUCUGCCUCAUGGCUACCUGGUGAUCAGUCCUCACAUCUUUUGGUAUGUUUUGAUGGCUUUACUUAACAUCUAUAAUUUCAUAAUGGGAUUUUUUCCAGAAUAAGAUAAUCUGGCAUUUCAUUGAAUUCUUAAUGAGUAUUUACUAUAUGAUUUUAGACUGUGAAAUAGAAAAGUGCAAAAGGGAACCUAUGAACCAAAGAUAAACUUCAGUCUGUAUCAUAUGAAGCUUAUUCUUUCAAAGAGGGCUUUUGUUUGUUGUUUGUUUUUAAUAAGGUUUUAGCUUCUAGUCAGAAGUGUCAGAAAGCGUCCUGAUUUUUUAAAAUAGCUAAUCCACCUUUAACAUAGUGGACUUUUUAAUUGUAAUUUCAAAGACUUUGGGAAAAGUGAUUCAUCACUGGGUGUCAAAAUAUUUUAUGUACAACUUUGAU